rfam:Dipodomys ordii contig_16960, whole genome shotgun sequence.
GGUGGCUCAGUGGUAGAGUGCUUGCCUGGCAUGCAUUAGGCCCUGGGUUCAAUUCCUCAGCACCA